rfam:Hordeum vulgare subsp. vulgare, WGS project CAJW01000000 data, contig: morex_contig_142056
AACAUGACACCUCCGUGCCAAAAUUCUUGUCUUAAGUUUGUCUAGAAAUAAAUGUAUCUAAAUAUUAAAACGUUACUAGAUACACUUAUGUCUAGACAAAUUUAAGACAAGAAUUUUGGGAUGGAGGGAGUAGUUG